rnacentral:rRNA from 1 species
UGGGGAAUAUUGCACAAUGGGCGCAAGCCUGAUGCAGCAACGCCGCGUGAGGGAUGACGGCCUUCGGGUUGUAAACCUCUUUUAGCAGGGAAGAAGCGAAAGUGACGGUACCUGCAGAAAAAGCACCGGCUAACUACGUGCCAGCAGCCGCGGUAAUACGUAGGGUGCAAGCGUUGUCCGGAAUUAUUGGGCGUAAAGAGCUCGUAGACGGUCUGUCGCGUCUGCUGUGAAAUCCCCGAGGCUCAACCUCGGGCCUGCAGUGGGUACGGGCAGACUAGAGUGCGGUAGGGGAGAAUGGAACUCCUGGUGUAGCGGUGGAAUGCGCAGAUAUCAGGAAGAACACCGAUGGCGAAGGCAGUUCUCUGGGCCGUAACUGACGCUGAGGAGCGAAAGCGUGGGGAGCGAACAGGAUUAGAUACCCUGGUAGUCCACGCCGUAAACGUUGGGCGCUAGAUGUGGGGACCAUUCCACGGUUUCCGUGUCGCAGCUAACGCAUUAAGCGCCCCGCCUGGGGAGUACGGCCGCAAGGCUAAAACUCAAAUGAAUUGACGGGGUCAUAGCUG